CAACAUGGGUCAUCUACCCCCACGGUGAGGAAUACCGGCGAGAAAUCGCCGACAAGACCGCAUACGCUCGCAAGAGCAAAGUCUCGCAAGAGACGCCUGGGGAUGAGCCUGUGGCCGAUUAGCUAGUUGGUGGGGUAAGCGCUCACCAAGGCGACGAUCGGUAGCUGGUCUGAGAGGACGAUCAGCCACACUGGGAUUGAGAACGGCCCAG
rnacentral:rRNA from 1 species